rnacentral:misc_RNA from 1 species
AAGUCGUAACAAGGUUUCCGUAGGUGAACCUGCGGAAGGAUCAUUAUUGAAUUAUAGACCCUGACUGUCGCUGACCCUCCGGGGUAUGUGCACGUCUGUGGUCAAUUCUCCUUCUUCACCCUGUGCACCUUUGCGUGGAUCCAUCGGCCGUCACCUUUGGGUCUGCGUUUCUUAUCAAACUCUUUUGUAUGUCUCAGAAUGUCCUCUUGCGAUAAACCGCAUUUAAUACAACUUUCAACAACGGAUCUCUUGGCUCUC